rnacentral:rRNA from 1 species
UACGAAGGGGGCUAGCGUUGUUCGGAAUUACUGGGCGUAAAGGGCGCGUAGGCGGUCUUGUAAGUCAGGCGUGAAAGGCCCGGGCUCAACCUGGGGACUGCGUUUGAUACUGCGAGGCUUGAAUCCGGGAGAGGAUGGCGGAAUUCCCAGUGUAGAGGUGAAAUUCGUAGAUAUUGGGAAGAACACCGGUGGCGAAGGCGGCCAUCUGGACCGGUAUUGACGCUGAGGCGCGAAAGCGUGGGGAGCAAACAGG